UCUGUAAUAGGGAGGUGAAUCUAAAGGAUCUACUGCCAGAUAGAUCCCUUUGACAGCUAAUCCUCUUAAUAGUACGAUAGUAGCAUCUAAAUGUGCAAAUGUGGUAGCAGGAGUAGGGUCGGUUGAAUCGUCUGUAGGUACAUAAACUACUUGAAUAGAAAUUAUGGACCCUUCUUCGGUAGAAGUAAUUCUUUCUUGUAACGUACCCAUUUUGGUACUCAGGCUAGGUUGAUAACCGUCAGCGGAAGGCAUUCUACCCAAUAAGGCCGAUACUUCGGAUCCUGCUUGGACGAAAGGAAGAUAUUGUAGAUAAAUAGAAGUACGACUUGUCCAUAAUUAUAGGGAUAUCACUGAAAUAAGAC
rnacentral:lncRNA from 1 species